rnacentral:rRNA from 1 species
UACGUAGGGUGCGAGCGUUAAUCGGAAUUACUGGGCGUAAAGAGCGCGCAGGCGGUCGUUCAAGUCGCGUGUGAAAGCCCCCGGCUCAACUGGGGAGGGUCACGCGAUACUGAUCGACUCGAAGGCAGGAGAGGGUAGUGGAAUUCCUGGUGUAGCGGUGAAAUGCGCAGAUAUCAGGAGGAACACCGGUGGCGAAGGCGGGUCUCUGGGCCGUAACUGACGCUGAGGAGCGAAAGCAUGGGGAGCGAACAGG